UACGAAGGGGGCUAGCGUUGUUCGGAAUCACUGGGCGUAAAGGGCGCGUAGGCGGCCGAUCAAGUCGGGGGUGAAAGCCUGUGGCUCAACCACAGAAUUGCCUUCGAUACUGUUUGGCUUGAGACCGGAAGAGGUAAGUGGAACUGCGAGUGUAGAGGUGAAAUUCGUAGAUAUUUGCAAGAACACCAGUGGCGAAGGCGGCUUACUGGUCCGGUUC
rnacentral:rRNA from 1 species